UCCACCCCGUGCAGGGACCCCUGGCAGAGCAAGGCUGGAGUCUCAGAGGAAGUGGGGCACACAGUCCCAGGUGGGCCGCGUGCCACUUCAGUGCCCAAGGUGCUUCACAAACCUCAUCAGGAGGCAGCACUGGCGGGAAACAGAGUCGGACUUAAAAAGGAAGAUCCAUUUAUGAAAGGCCAGGCCUCAAACGGAAAGAAUUUCCUGAAUUUCCCACUGGCCUCAGGGAGGAAGGAUCCGAGAGGAGGAAGGAUCCGAGAGGAGGAAGGAUCCGAGAGGAGGGAGGGAAGAGGCCCCACACCAGGCCCCUGCUUUUGAGAUCCUGUGAUUCCGAGACCCGACAGCCGACCCCUGAGGUGUGCGAGCAUCACAGCAGACAGGUAUAGCUUGUUACCAGGGGGCCCCAGCAUCGGGGUGUCAAUGGUGUGGGCAGCGUCCACUGUCUCGCUGAUGCCCAGGAGGCCUUAAGGAUCAGCAGAGGCCACUUUCCAGGAAUCUGGUGCCAGCGAUCCAGGGCAGCCAGGUGUGAGAAAGACACCGUCUCCUUGGAGGGUGAUGAACCUGGUGUUCUCCUGUCUCUGCAACGGGCACAUCUGGGUUCCAUGAAGCCAAAAAAUUAAGCCCAAAUUAAGGCCUCUGUGGCAGACAGGGUUCCAGGCCCAGGUGAGGGGAAGUGCUGUCCAGUACUGACUCCGGACACUGGUCAUUGUCGAAGUGCUGACCUUCGGGGCAACUCUGUGCCCGGGGCCACACAGCAAGCUCAUCUGAGACCCACCACGAUCUCUGAGGGACGGUUCCCCAGGCCAGCCAUGGGGAGAGACGGAAAAACCCCAGCCACUCUGCAGAACGCACAUGCGUGCGCGAGCCAGGCAGCGGGGUUGGGGGCCGAGGAGGGGCCCAGUGGAGCCGCCAGCCCCCUCGGCUCCGGUUCAGCA